UAAAUGUAAGAGAAAAAAAAAUUAAAAUUUAAUAAUAUUUUAUAUAAUAGUUUGAGGAUUUUAUUUUUUUGAGAGAUAGAUAGCAUGCUAUCUGUUUCGUUUAUUUUAUUUAGAAAUAAAGUUAGCUGGAAAUGUAAAUCAACUAGAAUUCGAAUUUAGGUCUCGGAUAUCAACCACCAAACCUUCUGUCACUUGCUUUAGGAACGGUCGGUAUAAUAGUUUGAGGAUUAGAGUUCAAUUAUAUCCACACCUGUCCAACCCAUCCCAGAAUUUUUUUUUCUUUUAUGAAAAAGAUCAUGACAUCACUACCAGAACUGGAAAGUGAUGGGCCAACCUCCAACAUUGUAGCAGUUGAAAAAUUAGGGCAUUCUUAAGGGAAAUAAUUUUAAUUAUUAAUUUCGGUCGAAUUUAGCCAGUAAAUAAUAUCCACACAUAAAUGAUUAAAAUUUUAUUUGUUAAUAUCAAAAUUUGACUUGUCUGUAAAAGAAAUCUAGAUGGUAAAGUAGUUCAAAUAUUAUUCGUAAAUCAUGUUUUUGUUCAAAGAAAUAGAUCAAACAACGAAUUUAAAAGUUUCGUUGCGAUAGAAAAUUGAAGUUAAGUAAAUAAAUUGAGAACUGUUUUGUUUGUGGUUGAAAAUUAAAUCAACUUAAGUAGAAAAUUUCUGGCCAUUUGAAGUGGUCUUAGUCUCACUUCUUGGUCAAAAUAAUAAGGCAUUAUUUAGAAUUACAGAAAAAUUAUGUUAUAAGUGGUGGUAAAAUAUGUCAUUUGUUUUCGUAUGAAAUAACGCGUUAUCAUAACGAUUCAAUUACAAUAUACUGAUCCUUAAUGCAAAAAAAACGCUCUUAAUCAAAUUCAAUUAAUAAAUAACAGUCAGAUAUAAUAUUAAUAAAUUUAUGUAUUAAU
rnacentral:lncRNA from 1 species